rnacentral:lncRNA from 1 species
AGACAAUAAAGUCCAUCAACAACUGAAAAAAUUAAAAAAAAAAAAAAAGAAUUUCAGGAACUCCCUCUCUGCAGAAAAUCCAGUGUGCCCAGAGGUACUUCUGUAGGUCUUUGUGACCAGCACAAGAAUUAUACACCCAGAAUGCACAAUGAGUGGGUUGUGCUGGCAGCUGAUCAGGACAAAGUGCACUAAGUCUUGGGAACAAGAACAGACCAAUGAUUCCAAGGGAGGAACAACAAGAGACAUUUGAUGUACAUUAGUCAGGGCAAGUGAGAUAAUGCUGCAGUGACAAACUACCCAAAAAUUGCACAGGCUAAGCACACAAAAAAUACCUGCUGUGAGUCCAGGGAAGCUGUUCCAUAAUCCAGGCCUCUCACCUUCUAGUUCCCUGGCCAUGGGAAGGGGAGAAAAUUGGAAAAUCACAAAUUUUCUGGGUUCCUGGCUGAGGGUGAAAUCAACCGUCAAGGGACUGAGAAUCAAUGAGAACUUCGUUGUUUGCAGGUCAUAGAAC